UACGUAGGGGGCAAGCGUUGUCCGGAUUUAUUGGGCGUAAAGAGCGUGUAGGCGGUCAGGUAGGUCGGUUGUGAAAACUGGAGGCUCAACCUUCAGAGGUCGACCGAAACCCCCUGGCUAGAGUCCGGGAGAGGAGAGUGGAAUUCCUGGUGUAGCGGUGAAAUGCGCAGAUAUCAGGAAGAACACCCGUGGCGAAAGCGGCUCUCUGGAACGGUACUGACACUGAGGCGCGAAAGCGUGGGGAGCGAACAGG
rnacentral:rRNA from 1 species